rnacentral:rRNA from 1 species
UGGGGAAUAUUGCACAAUGGGCGCAAGCCUGAUGCAGCCAUGCCGCGUGUAUGAAGAAGGCCUUCGGGUUGUAAAGUACUUUCAGCGGGGAGGAAGGCGAUAAGGUUAAUAACCUUGUCGAUUGACGUUACCCGCCGAAGAAGCACCGGCUAACUCCGUGCCAGCAGCCGCGGUAAUACGGAGGGUGCAAGCGUUAAUCGGCAUUACUGGGCGUAAAGCGCACGCAGGCGGUCUGUCAAGUCGGAUGUGAAAUCCCCGGGCUCAACCUGGGAACUGCAUUCGAAACUGGCAGGCUAGAGUCUUGUAGAGGGGGGUAGAAUUCCAGGUGUAGCGGUGAAAUGCGUAGAGAUCUGGAGGAAUACCGGUGGCGAAGGCGGCCCCCUGGACAAAGACUGACGCUCAGGUGCGAAAGCGUGGGGAGCAAACA